AAAAGAAACCAACAGGGAUUGCCCUAGUAACGGCGAGUGAAGCGGCAACAGCUCAAAUUUGAAAGCUGGCCUUCGGGUCCGCAUUGUAAUUUGUAGAGGAUACUUUGGGGAAGUCGCCUGUCUAAGUUCCUUGGAACAGGACGUCAUAGAGGGUGAGAAUCCCGUAUGUGACAGGAAAUGACACCCUAUGUAAAGUUCCUUCGACGAGUCGAGUUGUUUGGGAAUGCAGCUCUAAAUGGGAGGUAAAUUUCUUCUAAAGCUAAAUACCGGCGAGAGACCGAUAGCGCACAAGUAGAGUGAUCGAAAGAUGAAAAGCACUUUGGAAAGAGAGUUAAAAAGCACGUGAAAUUGUUGAAAGGGAAGCGCUUGUAAUCAGACUUGUCUUUGGCUGUUCGGCCGGUCUUCUGACCGGUUUACUCAGCCAAGGACAGGCCAGCAUCAGUUUCGGCGGUCGGAUAAAGGCCUUGGGAAUGUGGCUCUGCCUUCGGGUAGAGUGUUAUAGCCCAGGGUGUAAUACGGCCAGCCGGGACU
rnacentral:rRNA from 1 species